AAAAAAGUACCACCGAGGACAGCAUGGGGAAGGAUGAAGACAGCAACUGGCCGGUUCUUCAGUGUGUGGCACAUGGCACGGCCUCAGUGAGAAGCAAGCCAUUUCAUGAAGAAACUGCCCAGCACUAUUGCAGAACAGUGCUCUGUAGAGGAUACAAACAUUUCUGCAGGGUGACAUAGUCCUUACCAGAACUCCAGAACAUCUCUGCAGUAUUAUCUUCCACAUUUUCUCCCAGAACAAAAAUGAGGCUGCCCAGCAUUGAGAAUCUCUUGAUCAAUAAAAUAUGAUCACUACAACA